rnacentral:lncRNA from 1 species
CGAGAGGGCAAAUUACCUCUUUCCCAGGCCCCGCACCAGCUGUUGUCUUGGUUUCCAAGAAGGGAAGCCCAACCACUUUGUUUACAUUCCAAGUGACCUGGAGUAACAACCGGGGACCAGCUCUCUGGAGGCCAAGGCUACACCUGGGACAACUGGCUGAGGUUGAAAGUGAGUUGACAGCAGUUGCCAUUCACCAGCGGGUCCUGGGUCCUCGUCCUCAUCCUUGUCUUUGUCCUCUUGGCUUCCCCUGGGAGUCAUCAGCGGGGUUCGAACAAGAUUUGCUGGUUCCGGAGCUUGGAUGGAAAGAGCUGAAUAUCCCCUCUAUUUUGAGUAGGAAUAGAUGAUUGAAUACUCCGCAUACAAAUGGAAAACGCAUCAUCUAUCUGCAGGCAUCAUGAUUACCAGGAGGGGACUGGAGAAUGCUCCAUCAUGGUUACAGAAGAGCUUCAAGGGCCGUGGGACCUUCUUUAGCCAUUCUCACCAGCAGAAAGCCACAGGGAAGAAGAGGAAAAGGGUGAAAGAAGCCCAGAGUGAUAAAAGGGAGUCUCUAUUCUCUCCCAUUCUUUAAAACCAGAGCAUUUUGAGCAAACCACCAUUAAGACACUUGCUUUAUUGAUUUUUAUAAAUUUUUAUUUGGCUAUUUUGGGGAUGGGGGGAGACAAAAAUCACUGAAGGAAAUGUUCAAAGCUGGGAGGAAAAGUGGUUGGUGACUUUUUUCCCACAUUUGUAAAACAUCCUUUCACAUUUUGUCUGAAUGCCUAUUGCCCGUUGCCAAAUCCUAAUUCAAUUAAAGGUUUAGCAAUGAACACCA